UGGGCAACCUGCCCCUCUCUCUGGGAUAAACCCCCGGGGAAAACCGGGAGCUAAUACCGGAUACUCUCGGCCGAUCACAUGGCUGGCCGAGGAAAGGUCCGCCGGUCAGGGAUGGGCCUGCGGCCUAUCAGCUAGUUGGUGAGGUAACGGCUCACCAAGGCAACGACGGGUAGCUGGUCUGAGAGGAUGGCCAGCCACAGUUGGGACUGAGACACGGCCCAGACCUCCGUACGGGAGCA
rnacentral:rRNA from 1 species